rnacentral:rRNA from 2 species
UUUCGCUUGAAUGUUCGUGCAUGGAAUAAUAGAAGAGGAUUUCGGUCCGAUUUUAUUGGUUUUGCUGACCGAGAUAAUGGUUAACAGAGACAAACGGGGCCAUUCGUAUUGCUACGUGAGAGGUGAAAUUCUUGGACCGUAGCAAGACGGACUACAGCGAAAGCAUUUGGCAAGAAUGUCUUCAUUAAUCAAGAACGAAAGUCAGAGGUUCGAAGGCGAUCAGAUACCGCCCUAGUUCUGACCGUAAACGAUGCCAACUAGCGAUCCGCCGGCGGAUUUAUUCGCCCUGGUGGGGAGCUUCCCGGAAACGAAAGUCUUCCGGUUCCGGGGGAAGUAUGGUUGCAAAGCUGAAACUUAAAGGAAUUGACGGAAGGGCACCACCAGGAGUGGAGCCUGCGGCUUAAUUUGACUCAACACGGGGAAACUCACCCGGCCCGGACACCGUAAGGAUUGACAGAUUGAUAGCUUUUUCAUGAUUCGGUGGAUGGUGGUGCAUGGCCGUUCUUAGUUCGUGGAGCGAUUUGUCUGGUUUAUUCCGAUAACGAGCGAGACUCUAGCCUACUAAAUAGUUGGCUCAUUGCUUCUGUGGGCACAACUUCUUAGAGGGAUUUUCGGUGUUCAGCCGCACGAAAUUGAGCAAUAACAGGUCUGUGAUGCCCUUAGAUGUCCGGGGCUGCACGCGCGCUACACUGGCAAAAUCAGCGUGCUUGUCCUUCCCCGAAAGGGGUUGGUAAACCGGUGAAAAUUUGCCGUGAUUGGGAUCGGACAUUGCAAUUAUUGUCCGUGAACGAGGAAUUCCUUGUAGGGGCGAGUCAUCAACUCGCUCUGAAUACGUCCCUGCCCUUUGUACACACCGCCCGUCGCUGCCCGGGACUGAGCCAUUUCGAGAAAUUCGGGGGACGGUUAGUGUUCCCGGCUUCGGUCGGUAUGCAGACUGGAACCGAUUUAAUCGCAGUGGCUUGAACCGGGCAAAAGUCGUANCAAGGUAGCUGUAGGUGAACCUGCUGCUG